rnacentral:pre_miRNA from 1 species
UAUUAUUGAUGGCGAUUAUGACGAUGAUGAUGAUGAUUAUGAUGAUAAUCAUCAUUAUCGUCAUCAUCAUCAUCAUCAUCAUCAUCACCAACUCCA